rnacentral:tRNA from 1 species
GGGGAAUCAGCUCAGUUGGCCAGAGCGCUUGCAUGGCAUGCAAGCAGUCGUCAGCUCGACUCCCGCAAGCGUCU